AACCACCUUUGCAUUUUCUCCAUUUGCCAGUAGAAAAUAAGAUAGGCUAUAGCCUGAGUAAAUAUAGAAAUACAAGAUAAUAUCCCUCAAGAUAAAAACAACAAUGCUCUUCUUCUCAGUUAACGCAGUGGUCUGAGUGCAUUGGUGAUCCGGCAAUGAAUGGGUUAGUUUUCGCAUUACAAUAGACAGUAGUGAAUUUCGAGAAACAUGCUCUCCAGCCAUCUUUGGCACGGGGCGACAGCAUUAAAUUGUAGUUCAGACGGUUUAAUUUCAUGUAGCUGUAAAUUAAAACCCGACUAAAGUGGCGAUGAGCCUAAUCUAAUUAUUGAGCGUUUCUCUCGAGAGCAGAAGCGCUCCAAGUUGCGGAAGCGAAGUGAAAGCGCUUCAAAACACUACAUGCAGGAAAGGAGACAGAGAAGCUUCCUCGGUCGACGCCACUACAAGUUACAGACGUUGCUGAAGACAAAACAUCUUAAACGAAAGAAAAAAAGAAAAUUGACUUACCAGACAUUUUGGCCUGAAAAGGAGGAAAACUCUGGAAGAACUACAGUGAAAUACCCCAACGUCACUUCUUUGCUCUAUUAUAUGGGCAAGAACGAAUUAUUCACAAAAGUAUUAAAAAGUCUCAACAAAGUAACCUCAAAACACUCUCAGGACAUACAAUUAUACAGUAAUAUAGCUAGGGAUAUUUUAGUUUGAGUUUUUCUCCCCUCAUCCCUACUAUUUAAAACCCAAAGAACUCAAUGAUUUGACAAUGAUUUGAUUGCGCGAUACUUUCAAUUUGAAUAUUCAAAGGCUUCGUAAAAAGACUUAUUUCUGACUGAUAUUCACUAUUAUAAUGCAUAUAUUAGCACCUCUUUUAAUAGAAUGUUGUGUUAUUUCACAUCUUGUCAUCAAGCAAAUAUAUAUUUUUUAUCAUUUUA